UGCCCCCUGCAGCUGCCAGGCCGGAAGCAGCUCCUUCUUCUUCUGUGCGAGGACACGAUGCACCUUUCAGCUGUUGUCUUUGAGUCACACUCUGACAUCACAGAUUUUACUCUUUUUUAGGCUUUGUUGCAGACGAGCUGAGGCAGGCGCAGGUCAAGGUGAUAGCUCAGUCUGUCUGCUCCCAGCCCAGCGUCUACGGCGUCUUCCUGACCCCCCGGAUGAUUUGUGCUGGCACAAUGGACGGAGGGGUGGACUCCUGCCAGGGGGACAGUGGGGGACCCCUGGUGUGUGAGACAGCCAGUGGGGAGUGGAGGCUGGCGGGGGUGGUGAGUUGGGGAGAGGGCUGCGGACGGAGGAACAAACCAGGCGUCUACAGUCGAGUAACACAGCUGAUCAGCUGGGUUGAAGGAUAUAUAGAGGACAAACCAGAGGAGCUGGAGGAAACAACCACCGCCAUCACCGACACUUGAAACUGAGACACGUGACAAUAAAGAUGUGAAUCAACCAUGUCUGCUUGUUUUUCUUC